AAUCAACGCUGGCGGCGUGCCUAACACAUGCAAGUCGCACGAGAAAGUGGAGCAAUCCAUGAGUACAGUGGCGUACGGGUGAGUAACACGUGACUAACCUACCUUCGAGUGGGGAAUAACCUCGGGAAACCGGGGCUAAUACCGCAUAACAUCUUCUGGCUGAGAUGCCGGUUGAUCAAAGUAGCAAUGCGCUUGAAGAGGGGGUCGACGGCUGAUUAGCUAGUUGGUGAGGUAACGGCCCACCAAGGCAAUGAUCAGUAGCCGGCCUGAGAGGGCGCACGGCCACACUGGAACUGAAACACGGUCCAGACUCCUACGGGAGGCAGCAGUGGGGAAUUUUGCGCAAUGGGGGAAACCCUGACGCAGCAACGCCGCGUGGAGGAUGAAGUCCCUUGGGACGUAAACUCCUUUCGAUCGGGACGAUAAUGACG
rnacentral:rRNA from 1 species